GCAGUAGCAUGUGUGGUUCCGGAGUCUGGUUUCAAUUCACCAUGCAGGUCUGGGGUGUCUGUGCUCUGCUCCCUUGGGACUGCGAUACUGGCAACUUCCUUGGUGCGUGAGAACGUCAGUUCCCAAAGCGAGGCGAUGGGUUGGGCUGAAAUUCCAGCUCUGGGAUGUUGGGGAUUUAUUAUCUUGGCUCUCUUGCAAGCAUUUUAAGAAAGGAAAUUGCUGAAAUCCAGAGGAAAUAAUUUUUUCACAAUUUCUGUGCAUUCAACUGCAAUCCAGAGCAGUGGAAUUUCUUAACCAACAGGGCAAAGAAAGGUGUUUGGCCCACCUCAGAAAUGGCUGUGGCUUAGGUGUUGAAUCGAAAGAGACCAGGUAUGAGGGAGACCUUAGAGGUUUCUCCCCAAGACAAGAGGAGGAUUCCAGCAGCGAGAACAGUGAGAGGAGGAAGGGGAAGAACAUCCUGCACAAGAUCUGAGUCCUUCGCUGAGUUAAAGUGGCCAGGUCUGGGAAUGUGCAUCGCCUCUGUGACUGGUCUGUCUUCUGGCAGAGAUGUGAACACAAAACUUGGGUUGUCCUGAACUUCACCCCAUGGUCCCCACGCAUCUGGCUGCAGAGCAUGGGUCCCAGCAGGCCAACUGGAGCCUGCUCUGGUGGGACGGAUGAACCAGUCCCUGCUGCCAGCUCCUUCACCGCUCCUUAGGCAAUGCCAGGGACCAGCUUUCACCUUCUGAGGCUGAGCAGGCCUUGGCACAGCCCUGCAUAAGGGAAAUGGUACUUUGUGGUCAUCUCCCCUUUUUAAACUCAGCUAUAAGACUUGAGGCCAUCAUGUCUUUUACCUGUAAUGCUAGAAGCAAGCAUCAAUUCCCUCUUCUUCUUACCAUAGAAUCAUAGAAUGGCUUGGGUUGGAAGAGACCUUCAAAGACCAUCUUGUUCCAACCCCCCUGCCAUGGGCAUGGGCACCUUUCCCUAGAUCAGGUUGCUCCAAGCCUCAUCCAACCUCACCUUGGGCACUUCCAAGGAGGGGGCAUCCACAACUUCUCUGGGCAACCUCUUCCAGUGUCUCACCACCCUCGCAGUAAAGAAUUCUUUUAAUUUCAUGUCUCAGCCCACUGUGCUACCUCAAGAAAAGCUUGAUUUUUGGCCAAAGCAAGGAGCAGGGCAUCAGGCUUACAAGUGACCGGCCCUCCUCUCCUUCCCAAAAGCAUUCUGGAGUGGCAGCAGUGGGAUCCUGCAGGGAGGCUUUGUGCUGCCCCAAGUGCUGUCCCAGCAUGGCCCUUACCAGUAGCACUUCAGGGAAUGGGUCUGAAAAUAGAUCAAAGUGAGCCUGGUCAGAAAAGUUACUGACAAAUAGAAAAAUCGCAGCACUUCUUUUCUUGAACAUUUAAGGCUUCAAAAAACAGUCAUUUUCUUCAAUCUUGGUAAUUUCAGCAGCCACGGGACUGCAGUGAAGCAUCUGUGGUGUUUUCACAUAAUGUGUCCUUCAUUACCUCCUCUGCUGUACCCGUUCAUUGCUGGACGAUGAAAGGAGGAGUGCUGAUCCUGAGGGGUUCCCAGGGAAGGGGCAAACAGCCUUCCUCAUCCUUCCUCCUCACUACUGGAGUGCCCAGAGACCUACCAAGUUGUUCUUGCUAUGAUUCCGAAGGUUGACUACUGGGGCAGCGUGGGGUGGGAGUGGGCAGGUGUAUCUUCCCAGCCACCUGCUGUGGAGAAGUGCAAAACUGCCUGGUAGGUACUGGUUCCCAACAUGCCCCUUCAUCUGGUGUGAGCGGGAGGUUGAACUAGAGUGUGAGGUGACCACCACCCUGGUCGUCCUGUGCUGUUGGGGGUCCUGACCACCCCUCUGUGGUUCAGCAAGUCUGUUCCUGCUUCCCUGGAGCUCCCCAAGGCUGGGCUGACACCUCUGCCUUCAGUUUACUGCUCUUUUGGGGGGAAGGGCAUGUCCUUUCACUUGGCAGAUGCACGACCUUUCGCUGACCAGCACCAGCUCAUGGCCCUGGAGCAUCAGCUCAGAUGUGCUGUGAGAUGUGUCUGACCUUGACAAAAAUCUCCCUGCAGCUCACCAGGUGCGUUGCUCAGUGGGUUUUCCUGGAGGAAAACAAGAGGAGCAGUGUGGUAGCAGCACGCUCCUGGCCUGCAGAGCCACGCAGGAAAGAAGACGCUGGUGUGGUUCUUGAUGAUGCUGUUGCAGCACCUUGGUGAUAUCUACCCGAGUCCUGCUUGGCUGGAACAUGCUCAAAAACAUGAACAUGAGCACUUUACCUUAAAAAAUAAAAAUAAAAUGAAGCCCAGCCAUUUCAGGAUGGAGAACAACACAGAUUCUGCCUGUAGGUGUAUAUAAAGCAGUAAGAAGUCUGUCCUGGUGUGCAAAUGCCAUUAUUAAUACAGCUGUCUCUCUGGAGAGAUGUCUUGAUGGAGCAGCUUUUCAGGAGGACAGGCACUGGUGUUGGAAAGGGGAGCACUGGUGUUACUUUCUAGGGGAAUCAGAUUUUAAACCUGGCUAACACCAUCCUCUUGUAGCACAAGCAGGACCAUCAGUGACCAGAGGAGCACCCAGUAGCAUGCAGAGACCGUACUAAAGAUAACAAGGUCAGUCCAGCUUGAAGGAUAACUUCACAGAAAGCAACCAAGUGAUCUGCGUGAGUGGAUUCUGGCCUGCAGGACCUGCAAGGGGAGUUUGAUGAGAAGGCCAAAGCUGAUCAACUGGACACAGCGAAACCAGCUUCCCUUCCUUGCAAAACAAUCAUGUGAGUGGCAAAGCUGUCCCACCAGGGCUUAGGGACUGCUACGCUGAGAUGAGUUCACAUCGCUGCUUCUCCUGGUCAGCGUGGCCCGUGCUCAGGAAAGAGGCAGAGCAUCGGUGUUAGACCACAGCUGCCGCCUCUGCCCGCGUCAAUGGCAGCAGCCCAGGAGUGAGGAUGGGCGUCCUCCUCUCCUCACUCUCCAGGUUCUGCGAGCGUCAGUUAUGGCAAGGAAGGAAGGGAGAUAGUUCCUGUAACAGCCACGCAGCCUGAGUCAGACUAAACCCUCGCCAGUUCCUGUGCAGUUGUCAUAGAAGAA